rnacentral:rRNA from 1 species
UCGCUACUACCGAUUGAAUGGCUUAGUGAGGUCUUCGGACUGCCGCGGUUUGAGCUGGCAACAGCGCUGCCGCGGCGGAAAGUUGAACAAACUUGGUCAUUUAGAGGAAGUAA